rnacentral:snoRNA from 1 species
CCAAUGUGGAUAAACCAGGAGGUCAUUCUACUUGGACUCUGUUCUGGUGGUCUAAAAGAGCAUAAGGCAAUUCUCAGUAAUAUCCAGUCCCAUUCCAUGACAUUGUAGUUGAAGCUGGGCCUCAAACCUGUACCUGCAUAUUCCUACACAAUUUCAGUACUGAAACAAUGACUGAGGAUACAAACCUUGCAGGAAUCAUCU